rnacentral:lncRNA from 1 species
CAAACCAAAACCAACUUCUAAGAAAAAAAUGAGGUCCCUAAUGGCCUCUGCUUCUCUCACUCUUGCAUUAGCCAUCCUCUUUUUGAGUUUCCCAUCUGAAAUUUCAGCAAACAAAUACGCAUAUUCCUCUCCACCACCACCACAUUACUCAUCUCCUCCACCUCCACCGGUUCACACUUACCCUAAACCAGUCUACCACUCUCCACCACCACCAGUUCACACCUACCCUAAACCAGUUUACCACUCUCCACCACCACCAGUUCACAAGUACCCUCACCCUAAACCAGUAUACCACUCUCCACCACCCCCAGUUCACAAGUACCCUCAUCCACACCCAGUCUACCAUUCUCCACCACCCCCAGUUCACAAGUACCCCCAUCCUCACCCAGUGUACCACUCUCCCCCACCACCACCACCAAAGAAGUCCUACAAAUACCCAUCUCCCCCACCACCACCAGUUCACACCUACCCUAAACCAGUCUACCACUCUCCUCCACCCCCAGUUCAUCACACCUACCCUAAACCAGUCUACCACUCUCCUCCACCCCCAGUUCACACCUACCCUCACCCUAAACCAGUCUACCACUCUCCACCACCCCCAGUUCACACUUACCCUAAACCAGUCUACCACUCCCCACCACCACCAGUUCACACCUACGUCCCUCACCCUAAGCCAGUCUACCACUCUCCACCACCACCAGUUCACACCUAUCCCCCACAUGUUCCCCACCCAGUUUACCAUUCUCCUCCUCCUCCAGUUCAUUCCCCACCUCCACCACACUAUUACUACAAAUCACCUCCUCCACCUUACCACAACUAGAUAGCCCAUAAUUGGCAUCACACCAUAUGGUAACUUUUCAUGCAACAUAUAUAUUAUAACUUUUCAUAUUCUCUCUUUAUUAACUAGUUAUCGGUAUGAUUGUCGAGUAUAUACUAACAAGGCUAAUUUGAAAUGAAACUUCAUGUGCAAUGAAACAUUCUUUUACUGGUUAAUAUUUUAUUCUAUGUUUCAUUGAAAUUAAUAUUUUUCUAAUAGUAUUUGGUUAUUAAGGGAUUAGAGUAUAUCAGACAUAAACUGACAGAUCAAUAUAUUUGCAUUUGUGUAGGAUCUAAACAGAAAGUGUGAAAGCAAAGAAAGCCAUGCACAAAGAAGAUCAAGGGGAUUCUUCACAUAUAUUUCGUCAGCAUUUGAUUAAGAUUGUUUAGAGGGCUCCGUUUAUUUGUAUUUAAUUUGUGUUUUUGUUGUAUUAUCCACAGCUGUAAGGCACUGCCCCAAUAUGCAUGUGUCUGCAGUUGUUUUCAUGCAUUGUAAUUUUCAAAGUUCGGCUUUGUAUCAAGCUGACUCACAAACUAAAUAAAUAUAUAUCCCCUAUUAUAGUAAUCUGUCCCUUUCAUCUAUGACUCCUUUUAUAUUACUAUUCUUGUGAUAAAAAUAAUCUGUGUUUAUUUGUUUCUACUAAUUAUUUUUGGUUUACCUUUCUCCG